GGGGAUUUAGCUCAGUGGUAGAGCACUUGCCUAGCAAGCACAAGGCCCUGGGUUCGGUCCCAAGCUCCG
rnacentral:tRNA from 1 species